UGGGGUGGCCUUUUUUCAUUUAAAAGCCGGUGACUUAGAGCAAUUUAGUUAGCUUCAGGGCGUGUUACUGCCUUGAGGAGUACUUGAACUGGGGGAGGUCGCUCUAGCUGCCGAGCCCCGUCUUUCUGGCUUUGUGAACGUGUGAUUUAAGGUUCCCUUAUGCUCGGAGGGAACCAGUUAACCCCAUGGCUAGCAGGGCACGUGGUCAGCGUCCCAGGCCUUACAUUGGCUGGCGAAUCAGGGGCAGCAGAGAAGCAGAGCUCUCAUGCCAGAGUACCAGAGAUCCUUUCCUGUUUUGCCUCUGCUGCCAUCCUGGUCGCACUGCUCCUCCCGUCCCUCCCACGCGGAGCCCACAUGCCUUGUAGGAUGGCACCGUCCUUCCUCUCGCUAGAGCCGUCCGCUCAGGGCAGCGUGAGCGAUGCCGGUCCAAGGAGCACCAGCUCGCUCUCUUUUCUCUGUGCCGUCUAGCAUGGGACAGGCUGUUUGUUUGCACCCCCUCGCAAUGCCACUGACGCAGCUGGGGUUGCUCAAACUGUGACAAAGUACCGGCUGGCUGUAGGCAAAGGGAGACCGUCUGUCCUCUUACGAUGUUCCCGACCAGGCCACCGUGUUCUCACUCGGCUGCGUUACUGCUGAAGUGCCCUGGCACUAAGCUCCUCUCUGUCCCCAGCAGGACUGUUUUGCCUUGCUGCCACGCACCCAGGGGAUUGCCGGCACUUAAAUGUCAGUGCUGCACACGCAAGCGCUAAGAAACACUAGAGACUCUUUGUAGAAAAUUGAAACGUAGCCCCCAGCUGAAUGGAGCAGCAAAACAUCUGCAGGUCCUGGCAGCACUCGAGGACAAUACUGUGCUCCCCCCGGAGGAGUGGGGAAGCCUGGAGGACCGGCAGAAGGAGUGGUGCAGGAACGUGCUGAGGGGCAGCUGCGAGUCCCUGAUCUCGCUAGGGAGGUGCAGCGCAGGCCUUGUUGGCCGAUUGCUCCGUAGCCGUUCACUCCAAUGAGGGACUCUAAGCUGUGCCUCUGCCUUCAGUCAUCCCCUGUCGUAUCCUCUCCCAUAAGCAGACUAUGCCAUUUCCAAGCCUGAUGUUCUGUCUCGGCUCGAGCGAGAAGAGCCAUGUCCAAGGGAGCGACCGGGCCAGGAGGGGAGCGAGAGCUCUGCGGACCCCAGCGCAGAGCCUCUGAGCUGCAGCCUGGAAGUCUCUCUGCAGAUCAAACAGGAGGAAGAGCAGGUCAAGGAGGACCAGCAGGAUGUGGAAGAAAAAGGAGACGCUCAGGAGACGCCAGCAGGUGGGUGAUGAGCCCAGGUGGCCCUGAACACCGCAGAGGAGCUCGAAAGCAGGAGGGCAAGGAAGGCUCUGUAUUGCUACCGCACCGUCAGCUCUGGCGAGCGAGAUCCCACAGCCUCCAUCGCUGUUCCCUGUCGGACCGGGGCCGUGACCGGCGGCUCUGCGUUCCCGCAGGGCAGCUCCUCGCUGGGGCAGGGCUCUCGGACCGGCUGCAGCGCUGGCUGGAGGGGACGGACAGGAACCAGGUCACCUCUUAGCAGUCAGGGCCAGCUGUGAACAGAGCUAAGCUGAGCGGGGUCUCCCAGUGCUGCCCAGAAGAGAGGGGCGCGCAACCCUGCACAGCUGC